rnacentral:rRNA from 1 species
UCGGGAAUUUUGGGCAAUGGGCGAAAGCCUGACCCAGCAACGCCGUGUGAAGGAUGAAGUAUUUCGGUAUGUAAACUUCGUAAGAAUAGGAAGAAUAAAUGACGGUACUAUUUGUAAGGUCCGGCUAACUACGUGCCAGCAGCCGCGGUAAUACGUAGGGACCAAGCGUUGUUCGGAAUUACUGGGCGUAAAGCGCACGUAGGCGGAUUGACAAGUCAGGGGUGAAAUCCCGGGGCUCAACCUCGGAACUGCCUCUGAUACUGUCAGUCUAGAGUCCGGAAGAGGUGGGUGGAAUUCCUAGUGUAGAGGUGAAAUUCGCAGAUAUUAGGAAGAACACCGGUGGCGAAGGCGGCCCACUGGUCCGGUACUGACGCUGAGGUGCGAAAGCGUGGGGAGCAAACAGGAUUAGAUACCCUAGUAGUCCCUGAGCGGGCUGGCAAGGCGCAU